UACAGAGGGUGCGAGCGUUAGGCGGAAUCACUGGGCUUAAAGCGUGUGUAGGUGGAUGCCUAAGUACCUUGUGAAAUCCCACGGCUUAACCGUGGAAUUGCUUGGUAUACUGGGUGUCUUGAGCCACUUAGGGGCAACCGGAACAAAUGGUGGAGCGGUGAAAUGCGUAGAUAUCAUUUGGAACGCCAAUGGUGAAAACAGGUUGCUGGGAGUGUGCUGACACUGAGACACGAAAGCCAGGGGAGCAAACGGG
rnacentral:rRNA from 1 species